AUAAAUAACCUUUUUCUUUAUAUAUCUUGUCAAGUGAAAAAUUCAAAAUAAAAAUUAUGUCUAUAUAGCACAACAAUUUAUCUUCUAAAGCAAGUUAAGAAUACAUUUUUUUGUUGCAAAAAAGAUCAAGUUGAUUGGUUGGUGAUCUUACCAAUCAACAAAUCAAUCUAAAAUCAAAUUGAACUAAUUCAAACUUCAUGUUCUCUACCCUUGUACAUUGAGACAUUUUCAAAAAAAAAGUUUCUCUACCCCGAUGCAUUGAAAACUUUUUC
rnacentral:lncRNA from 1 species